GAGCAGGAGGGUGGAGAGGAGAAAAGGACAACUCAGAAGAAAAAAGUCAAGGAGCUGAAAGUCCUGGAUUCAAAGACUGCCCAGAACUUAUCCAUUUUCCUGGGGUCUUUCCGCAUGCCCUAUGAAGAAAUCAAGACCGUCAUCCUGGAGGUGAAUGAAGCCGUGCUCACCGAGUCCAUGAUUCAGAACUUGAUUAAGCAAAUGCCAGAGCCAGAGCAACUGAAGAUGCUGGCAGAGCUGAAGGAUGAGUACAAUGACCUGGCAGAACCUGAGCAGUUUGGG